rnacentral:misc_RNA from 1 species
GUGAAUCAUCGAAUUUUUGAACGCAAAUUGCACUUUCUGGUAUUCCGGAAAGUAUGCCUGUUUGAGGGUCAGUUAAAUAAAAAUUGGUGUUGUUGGUGCCUUUCCUGGUGACGGCUCGGAAUUGGGUCGUCUUACCUUUGGUUAAGUGACUUAAAAUUUUUGCAUGAUUUUUGAAAGUAUUUAAAUCGCUUACGUAGGACUGAGAUAUCGUAUGA